AGAGUUUGAUCCUGGCUCAGGACGAACGCUGGCGGCGUGCCUAAUACAUGCAAGUAGAACGCUGAAGAGAGGAGCUUGCUCUUCUUGGAUGAGUUGCGAACGGGUGAGUAACGCGUAGGUAACCUGCCUUGUAGCGGGGGAUAACUAUUGGAAACGAUAGCUAAUACCGCAUAACAAUGGAUGACACAUGUCAUUUAUUUGAAAGGGGCAAUUGCUCCACUACAAGAUGGACCUGCGUUGUAUUAGCUAGUAGGUGAGGUAACGGCUCACCUAGGCGACGAUACAUAGCCGACCUGAGAGGGUGAUCGGCCACACUGGGACUGAGACACGGCCCAGACUCCUACGGGAGGCAGCAGUAGGGAAUCUUCGGCAAUGGGGGCAACCCUGACCGAGCAACGCCGCGUGAGUGAAGAAGGUUUUCGGAUCGUAAAGCUCUGUUGUAAGUCAAGAACGAGUGUGAGAGUGGAAAGUUCACACUGUGACGGUAGCUUACCAGAAAGGGACGGCUAACUACGUGCCAGCAGCCGCGGUAAUACGUAGGUCCCGAGCGUUGUCCGGAUUUAUUGGGCGUAAAGCGAGCGCAGGCGGUUUGAUAAGUCUGAAGUUAAAGGCUGUGGCUCAACCAUAGUUCGCUUUGGAAACUGUCAAACUUGAGUGCAGAAGGGGAGAGUGGAAUUCCAUGUGUAGCGGUGAAAUGCGUAGAUAUAUGGAGGAACACCAGUGGCGAAGGCGACGAUCUGGCCUGCAACUGACGCUCAGUCCCGAAAGCGUGGGGAGCAAAUAGGAUUAGAUACCCUAGUAGUCCACGCCGUAAACGAUGAGUACUAAGUGUUGGAUGUCAAAGUUCAGUGCUGCAGUUAACGCAAUAAGUACUCCGCCUGAGUAGUACGUUCGCAAGAAUGAAACUCAAAGGAAU
rnacentral:rRNA from 1 species